GAGGGUAUAGCUCAGUGGUAGAGUGCAUGCUUAGCAUGCACGAGAUCCUGGGUUCAAUCCCCAGUGCCUCCA
rnacentral:tRNA from 1 species